rnacentral:tRNA from 1 species
GGAGAGGUGCCUGAGAGGCCGAAAGGAGCGGUUUGCUAAACCGUCGUUUGGGUACCACCUGAACCGAGGGUUCGAAUCCCUCCCUCUCCG